rnacentral:tRNA from 1 species
GCUGUUAUAGCUCAGUUGGCAGAGCACGUCAUUGGUAAUGACGAGGUCGGCAGUUCGAAUCUGCCUAACAGCU